AAUAAAUGAUAAAUAUAACAGGAUCUAAAAUCCAUCGUUGGCGCCAGAAAGUCAACUGGGAGACGCCACCUAGAUCGAAUCAAACUCCUCGUUGUGUGGCUCCUCCUGAGCCACUUGUACUUCUCCUGUGGGGGGUGUGAGACAGCAAGGGUGAGCUCACGCAUGUUCAUCGCUCAACAAGUUAUGGGGAAUAAUGUGGCAUGAACUCACCAAAGGUGGGAGUUCAUGUGAUGUGUAAAGCUGAUCAACAAUAGGGGUUAAAGCUGAGCAUUGCUUUUAAUAAGUUGGUCAAAUUUUGUUAGCAGUUACUAAGUAUAAGUAAAUACCAAACCUUAGUAAUAAUAAGUAAAAUUAAUAAUAAAAUAAUCCCAAUGCGAUGCAAAAGACAAAUUGAGUUUUAAUUCCAUAGAUUAAUCAUGUGAGGGUCCGAGCUGCUCAUGACCGUGAGCACGACUAGUAUAUCAGUUUUACACUCUGCAGAGGUUGCGCAUCUUUACCCACAAGUCAUGUUACCCAUCUGCCAAGGGGUCAUGAAUCCCAUACACCUCUACCAAGGAGGCGAGGCAGGGUAACACUACGAGGCCUUUACAAAGUUCCACUAGCUUUAGAAAACCCGCUACAGUUUAUAGGAAGCUCAUGUGCAGGAAUCCCUCGCCUGACCACCAUCACAGUAAAAUUAACCCAAGGACCUCCCUACACUGACCACUCCCCUACUGCCCUUGCCCCUUUCGGGUAAGAUAGUCAUCCACUAGCUUUCCUAGUUAAUCAGUCAAGGGCAUCCCAUACUACCCUUGUGGUAGCACUGUUUUUCCGGGUGGUCGCUCCAUGUUCCAAUUAACAUAAUGAUCUUAUCAUGAACAUAAAUAACAUAACACAAUAAUUGGUACAUGGAUGUAAUGAAAUAUUAUCCUAAAACCAUAUAAAGCAAUAGCAUAGCUACCUAAUUGAUUCAGGGAUAAACAAGGUAAAAAGAAUAACCAGUCUAGGGUGACCUAUUGGGUCCCAUCAAAAUUAAACCUAUGCAUGAAUAGUGAUAAUAAAGAAUAUUAUUGGGUAACAAAAGUGGUCAAGGGCACAACUUGCCUAGCACUUGAGAUUCCAGUUACCAGGGUGAUUCUUCGGAUCCUCGUGACCGUACUGCUAGUCGUAGCAACACAAACAAACAUGGUAUGGACAAAAUUAGCAUCACACCACAGGUACGAACAAAAUGUAUAACAAUGAUCUACGUGAAGCUACGAGAUCGCGGGACGGGAACCACUAAAAUCAGAGUUACGGUUAAGGAGUUAUGAUUUUAUAGAAGAUUUAUGUGAUUAAAAUAUUCAAGUAUAUUAUAAAUUGGUUAGUAUAAAUCAUAUGAGAGGUUAUUCUAUAAAUACUUAUCUCAACUUCAUUCUAAGUCAUUAUUUGAUUAAAGAUCAUUUAGUCAAAUUAUAAUCAUAAAAUCAUAGGUUAAUCCAAUAGACAUAGGUUAAUCCAAUUAUAAAAGUACGGGAUAUCAUAUAAUAAAUGCUGCCAUUGUGUAAUAUAUAUUUAUACGAAGAUAACGCAACUGGAACGAGUCAAAUCGGAUUUAAAACGGGGAAAGUAUAAGUUUCUGAAGGUUUUAUGUAUUUGAUACAAGAUUAAUUAGGAAAUAAAUUUUAAAUUGGCUUUCAUGUCAAAACAGUGGUACUAAAUAAUAAACAAUAAUAUUAUAGAAUUAUAGGAACUGGAAUGAACUAAUUUGAACUUAAUAUGAAUUUUCUAGGAAUUAUACAAGUUCUAGCAAUUAAUUUGGUAUUAAAAAUCAUUUUCUAACUUUAGUUUCCCUGUUUUAUUAACUGUUUGGACUGCGCGCCAAAUACCAGAAAAACCAGGGGCUACGGAGCAAGAAUCCCUAAGACUCAUUACCCUGUCGCAAGGGACGGAGGAUUACUACUAACAAAAUAAAGGGGCCCUUCUGUAAACUGGCUUCGAUGAAGGGGUACCGUGGGUCUCCAGCCGCUGGAUCUACAUUCCUCGGUGGAGAUUAGAUCGAGUCUCACCAAACCGGUAUACAAUCCUACUCAUCCGAUGAAAACCCAAUGGCCAGGAUUUUAUUUCGAGCGGAUGAACGCCGACCGCCCGAUCGUGGAUAGAGGAACCAGAUCAAAACGCCGAAACGUUAUUGCGCAUCUAAUUGCAGCCGUCCACAUCCAAUCGCACGGUCAGGCGCUCUUCUACCUGCUGGCUAAGCACGGCGGCGCCCAUAGCCCGUGCGGUGGCUCCUAGUUCAGACGGUGGAGAGAUGGCUGGGGUUCGUCAUCUCCGUGCACAAGCACCCAGGCGCCGAUUCCCUAGCGCUACACGUAAAGCGGAAAAAGGAGACCUCGAUUGAUGGCUCGUUACCGGAUUUCACAGUGUGGAGGUCCCUGGCCACGACGGUGUGCGGCAACACGGUGGAGUGACGGCGCCAGCAAACACCCCCAGGUGCUCCAGCGACGACCCGCGACCCUCGAACCGGCAUAACAAACGUGGAGCACGCCAUGAAUACGAUAGGGAAAUAGGCGUACCGUGGGGAUGAGGAGGUCGACGCCGAUGAUGUCACUGCGCCAUCGGACGCGGGCGGGACACGAUCCGCGCAGUUGAACAGACAAUCACCGGGGUUCCUCUACGCACGUAGGCCACCAACGGCUUGUUGCCCAUGGAUUGUCCUCAACCACCCCUCGGCACAAGAACGCUGCGACACGGUGACGGCGGCGGUCAUGGAAUACCUCUCCCCCUCUCACACUGGCGUUGGUCUGCUACACGAUUCUUGGGUGGUUGCAAGCAGAGAGAGAGGCGGCGCUCUAGGCCCUAUAUAGCCCCGAGCGAGCCGGAUCCCGGAAGCCGAUGACAAAGACCCGCUCGGUUCGGCCCGGACGCUACGGACGCCUUCUGUUUU
rnacentral:lncRNA from 1 species